GACGUAGGGGGCCAGCGUUGCUCGGAAUUACUGGGCGUAAAGGGUCCGUAGGCGGUGCGGUAAGUCGGGAGUGAAAUCUCUGGGCUUAACUCAGAGGCUGCUUCCGAAACUACCGUGCUAGAGUGCGAGAGAGGCAAGUGGAAUUGCGGGUGUAGCGGUGAAAUGCGUAGAUAAUCCGCAGGAACAUCCGAGGCGAAAGCGGCUUGCUGGAUCGCAACUGACGCUGAGGGACGAAAGCUAGGGGAGCAAACAGG
rnacentral:rRNA from 1 species